AUACCUAUUCGGUUCGUCCUCUUGAUUGUUUUGCUGGGUGUCUUUUGAAACCAAAUCGAACGAUGCAUCUUAUUUGUAACAUUACUUGUCUUAAGCUUUGCCAAUGGCCAGGGCCACGGGGGUUUUGGUGGGGGACUCCGCAUCCCAUUGAAUAAAGAUAUUGAGCCCGCCCGAAAUGAUAUGAAGCUAUCUCCACUCAUACGGAAGAUGAAGAGAGCUGUUGGCGACACGUAUCAACUGCGAAAACGGCACGUACAUGGAUAACGGUAGAUUCUUUACAGACCCUCUACAACGAGGACAUCUCUCUGACAGCACACGAUUCUAGACCAACCAUAAACAUUGUUAUUUUAGAGAUCACCAUCAUGUUACUGGAAGUUCAUCGGAUUCCAAUGAAGAAUAUACAAACGAGAAGUCAUGCGAAAUAUAAUGAAUAAAUGAAUAAAUAAUUAUAUAUAUAAAUAGAUAAAUAAAUGAAUAAACAUUUUGCAGUGAAAUAUAAAUUUCGUAGAAAAGUGACGCAAUGGCAGCCCUAUGAAUGUUUACAAGGUGACUAAACAUCGUCAUGAAAAUUAUCGUUUGUAUAAUGCACUAAAUGAGUAAUACUUAAUGUUUGCAGCACAUUAUUUCAUAAUUUCAUACGAUCUGGAAUAAAGAAAAAAUCAAACAGAAAUUCAUAACGUUUUCUCUUCAGAAAAUUGAAUAUACUUUUCAAAGUUGGGUUUGCGAAUGGGGUGAAUUGAUUAUUAAUAUCAUGGAUGAUUUUAAUAAGUUCAGGGCAGCAGUAUUAGGGUGCACCUCUCACAAAUCCCAAUAAUGUAUUGUGGGACAUGAAUUCACACUCAAUAUAUAUUAUUUUAGGGUUCCGACGGUCCAUGCAAAUAUCAGAUAGAUUGAUAGAUGAAUAGAGAGGGAGAGAACAUGAAACAUUUUGCGUGUUCAGUUGACGCCCUUGAUUAUUCGUUCUUCCUAUACCCUCUGUACUAUUUGUUUCACAUUCAUGUCAGUGGCAAUGGCAAAUUCAGAAAAUGAAAUAUUAAAAGUUGUUCUCGGUCCCUUCGGCGCUAGAAUUUCGUUCUAUAAAUUACAAUAUUUCUGGUAAAUAAGAUUUUUAAGGAUGGAAUCGUAGUUGAGGGUUCUGAAGCAAGAGGAAGCAGGACUAAUUAUCCUCAAUAAUAUAGUUUGUACUAGUGACAUGGACCGACGUUGACUCAAGGUCAAGGCUGGUAAAAUAUGGCCUCGAAUCGAUCCAUAAAUAUUUGGUCUAAAUUUUGUAUCUCAAGGGUCUAUUGAUUUUAAUACGUAUUACAUUUUGUCCCCACUUGAAAAGAAAAGAAACAUAACUGUUUAUCAAAUGUACACUUAAAAACUGUGCUCGUUCAUAUUAAAUAGAGAGAGAAUGA